rnacentral:rRNA from 1 species
GGUAUUGAAAUAAGAUUUUAAAUGAGUGCUAAGAGAAUGAUUAAACAAUUAAAAGCUUUCUUUAAUUAAAAAAUUAAAUUUAAUUUUUUUAGUGCAAAAGCAAAAAUAAAAUUUAGGGACAAGAAGACCCUAUGAAUUUUUAUUGUUAAUAAUUAAAAUUUAAGUUAUUAAUAAUUUAAUUGGGGCGAUAAAAAAAGAAUAAGUAUCUUUUUAAUAAUAAAAUAAGUUCCGUUUUUAGCGAUUAAAUGAAAUAAAUACUCUAGGGAUAACAGCGUAAUAAUUUUGGAUAGUUCAUAUAGAUAAAAUAGUUUGCGACCUCGAUGUUGGAUUAGGAUUCUUUUUUGGUGAAGAA